rnacentral:rRNA from 1 species
ACGGCAGCACGGGGGCAACCCUGGUGGCGAGUGGCGAACGGGUGAGUAAUAUAUCGGAACGUACCCAGUAGUGGGGGAUAACUAUCCGAAAGGAUAGCUAAUACCGCAUACGAUCUGUGGAUGAAAGCAGGGGAUCUUCGGACCUUGUGCUAUUGGAAUGGCCGAUAUCUGAUUAGCUAGUUGGUAGGGUAAAAGCCUACCAAGGCGACAAUCAGUAGCUGGUCUGAGAGGACGACCAGCCACACUGGAACUGAGACACGGUCCAGACUCCUACGGGAGGCAGCAGUGGGGAAUUUUGGACAAUGGGGGCAACCCUGAUCCAGCAAUGCCGCGUGAGUGAAGAAGGCCCUCGGGUUGUAAAGCUCUUUUGUCAGGGAAGAAACGGUGAUCUCUAAUAUAGAUUGCUAAUGACGGUACCUGAAGAAUAAGCACCGGCUAACUACGUGCCAGCAGCCGCGGUAAUACGUAGGGUGCAAGCGUUAAUCGGAAUUACUGGGCGUAAAGCGUGCGCAGGCGGUUUUGUAAGUCUGAUGUGAAAUCCCCGGGCUCAACCUGGGAACUGCAUUGGAGACUGCAAGGCUAGAGUGUGUCAGAGGGGGGUAGAAUUCCACGUGUAGCAGUGAAAUGCGUAGAGAUGUGGAGGAAUACCGAUGGCGAAGGCAGCCCCCUGGGAUAACACUGACGCUCAUGCACGAAAGCGUGNGGAGCAAACAGGAUUAGAUACCCUGGUAGUCCACGCCCUAAACGAUGUCUACUAGUUGUCGGGACUUAAUUGUCUUGNUAACGCAGCUAACGCGUGAAGUAGACCGCCUGGGGAGUACGGUC